GCAACUUGCUUGGUAGUGGGGGUUUCAGCGCGGUCUACAAAGGGAUACUUAAGGAUGGUACUCUUUUGGCAGCAAAGGUAUUCAAUGUACAAUUGGAGGGUGCAUUCAAAAGUUUUGACAUGGAAUGUGAGAUACUCCGGAACCUUCGCCACAGAAAUCUAACCAAAGUCAUCACCAGCUGCUCCAACCUUGAUUUCAAAGCCCUAGUGCUGGAAUACAUGCCCAAUGGGACACUCAAUAAAUGGUUAUACUCCCACAACUUGUUCUUGAAUUUAUUGCAGAGAUUAGAUAUAAUGAUCGAUGUUGCAUCAGCAAUGGAGUAUCUCCACAAUGGCUAUUCAACACCUGUGGUGCAUUGUGACUUGAAGCCAAGCAAUGUCAUGCUAGAUCAAGAUAUGGUUGGCCAUGUCAGUGAUUUUGGCAUUGCAAAAUUGCUAGGUGCAGGGGAGGCUUCUUUUGUUCAAACAAGGACAAUUGCAACUAUUGGAUAUAUCGCUCCAGGUAUAUAAUCAAAAUGCUUUAGAGUUCUCUCAUAUCAUUUAAAUACUCAAAAUAAUUCUUGCCCCUAGAUGUAUAUCAAUACUCUCAAGGAAAUUUUUAUGAUAUUUUUCGAUCAUGUGCAGAGUAUGGACAAGAUGGAAUAGUAUUCACGAGUUGUGAUGUUUAUAGUUUUGGCAUACUAAUGAUGGAGACGUUCACAAGAAGAAGACCAAGUGAUGAAAUAUUUACAGGAGAAAUGAGCAUACAACGUUGGGUUAGUGAUUCCUUUCCAAGUGGAAUUCAUUAGGUGGUGGAUUCAAAUUUGGUAACGCCAGGGGAAGAACAGAUCGACUUAAAGAUGCAAUGUUUGUUAUCUAUCAUGGAAUUAGCUUUGAGAUGCACUUUAGAUAAACCUGAUGCAAGAAUUAGCAUGAAAGAUGCUCUUUCGACACUUAAAAAGAUUAGGCUCCAACUUGUCAUUAGUUGCUACUAGGUGGAAUAUAGUUGUAGUAUAGCCUCUUGUAUGUUGCUUGAUUACAUAUGUUGGUCGUGUUAAGAUUAGUUCAACACAAGUACUUUAGUUUUUUCAAUGAGAAUAUUAGUAACUAUUGUUGACCACUUCAAUCACCUCAGAAGACAUGAUUGAAAAACUUAUUUUUGUUUGAACAAGAAGUUAAAGGAAGAAAUAAAAGUUGGAAUAAACUAUAACUGCUUUCAGGAGUCUUCCAUUAUAAAAAGGAAAGUGAAAAGGAACAAUAAUAUCCCCUUUUAUGCAAAAAAGCAAAGCAAUCUUGAAAGAAAAAGAUUCACUUUCCAAAGGCAGAUUUCACACAGCAAGGUCAAGCCAGAUAAUCAAAGAAUAAAGAGACUUUAUAAUGGUUAGUUGCCUCCACACAACAACUAAUUAAUAGAUUUAUUGACUUAAAAACUUAGGAAGACUUGCAUUUUCUGUUCCAUCACAGAUCAGUAAAGUUGAGUCAUUCUGUUCACUCACAAUUUUCAAUCCUCAGUUUCAUUUUUGCUCUUUUCAGUUUGGACAGUUCACUAAUUUUUUUGUCUGUUAUAGAAAAAAAGUAGCAUCUUCUUUAUACGGAAACUAGUUAGUUUUUACACACCAAUCCAUGUAAAUUAUAGCAAAAGAUAGGGGCAAAAUGGGAGAAAAAGAUCUCUCUCGAUCUCGAUAUAAAUAUAGCAGAUACAAGGUGUUGAUCAGUAUAGAGAAAUAACAAGCUACAUGUAUGAGUUAGUUAGUUAGUUAGUUAAAAGGGUCCAGAUCCCAAGAAUCAGUUAGUAAGUUUGUUAGAGUCAUAAGUGUGUGUAUAUACACUUCAGUAGCUGAUGCAUUAUUCAUUCACGUGUAAAACAAUGUAAAGGCAACUUGAUGUGAGCUCAAUAAUAUCUUCUCUUCCUCUCUUCUUCUCAACUCUUUCUCCAAUUACUUAAGAUCUUAAUCUCCAUUAAUGGAGUUAUCAUGGUAUCAGAGCUACUGAUCGUAGGGUAGCGUUUGUGAGUAUUACUUGACCACUGUAUACUCAGAGUUUAUCACUAAUCAAGUGAGACUCAAAAGGAAGUAUCAAAGGUUCGACUAAGUUGAAAUUCAACUGCAAUUCAUAUCUCUGCACAUGGCGAUUGACAGUGCAAGUGAAGGUACAAAUAGUGGUGCUAUUCCAGUGACUACAUUUCCAAUCAUAGAUCACAAUCAUCCUCUGUUUCUACAACAUACAGAUACUCCAGGUAGCUCUUUAAUUUCUCUGCAAUUAACUGGUUCUGAGAAUUAUGCACUGUGGAGUAGAUCGUUUAGAAUUGGACUUGUAGGUCGUAGCAAGUUAGGAUUUGUGGAUGGUAGAUUUCCUAAAUCUAUGUUUGAACCAGUGUUACAUGAUCAGUGGGAGAAGUGUAAUGCUGUAGUGUUGUCCUGGAUCAUGAAUGUUGUUAGACCAGGAUUACUAAGUUCAGUGGUGUAUGCUUCUGAUGCAAGGAAAGUCUGGCUAGAUCUUAGGGAAAGAUUUGAUACUGUGAAUGGCUCUAGGAUCUUUCACAUUCAUAGAGAAAUUCAUACUCUCACACAAGGAACAAUGUCCAUUGCUGACUAUUUCUCCAAACUGAGAGAUCUCUGGGAUGAAUAUGAUGCCAUUAUGCCCUGUCCAUCAUGUCCUUGUGCAGAAUCAAGGAAAUUUAGUGAACAUUGUGACUAUCAGAGAUUACUUCAAUUUCUGAUGGGUCUAAAUGAGUCUUAUUCCCCACCUAGAAGUCAAAUUCUCAUGAUGAGUCCUAUUCCUACAUUGAACAAAGCCUAUGCUCUUCUUAUGGAUCAAGAGUCUCAAAGGAACCUAGUGCACUCCACUUCACCUGGUUCAGGAACUGGUCUGAUUGAAGGUGCAGCUAUGUACAGUCAUAGGAACACCUAUCAUACAGGAUCAAGUAGUAACGCUGGUCCUAGUCGAGUCUAUAGUGGUGGUGCAAGCUCAUCUGGAAGUUACAAACCUAGGCAGAAUGUGUUAAUAUGUUCUCACUGUGGAUGCAAAGGUCACUCCAAAGAGCAAUGCUACAAAAUUGUUGGCUAUCCCACAGAUUUUAAGUCAAAGAGAAAAGGCUCAACUCCAAGUGUUUCUGCCAACCAGGUUGAGACUUCUUCGGGGAGCAAUCACAGGACCAGUCCUCCUCAAGUGCAGCAAUCUGCAGCUUUCUUCACUCAGGAACAAUACCAACAGAUCCUUCAACUGCUCUCAAAAACUGAUGGUGACAAAUCAGUGGAGUCCCCUGCAAAAGUGGCUUCUGUAGAUGCAGGUAAUUCUCCUUCUGCAUCUUUGUGUUCCUAUGGUCCAGGUGAAUGGAUUAUAGAUACUGGAGCUACUCACCAUAUCACCUCUUCUCUAGCUUCCCUUGCUACUAACAAUGCAGCUCCAGGUGAUUCAACUAGUAAAGUGCACCUACCUAAUGGUAACAUAGUUGCAGUGUCUCACAUUGGUAGCACAUGUAUCUUGGCUAACCAAACCAUAUCCAAUGUGCUGUACUUACCUGACUUUCAAGUUAACUUAGUGUCAGUCUCCAAGAUCACUAAGGAACUCAAGUGCAUGGUGGCACUCUUUCCUGACUUUUAUGUUUUUCAGGAUCUCUACACUGGUCAGGUGAAGGGGAUUGGUAAGGAAGAUCAUGGACUCUACAUACUAACAAGAGGACCUAAUCAAGCUCCAAGGAAGCUGGUCAAUAGUAGUAUGAGUUCUAGGAGUCAUAGUCAUAGCACCUCUGUUGCUAAGUCCAUUGUUUUACCUUCUUUACAUUGUGAGUCAGCUGAUGUAUGGCACAAAAGGUUAGGACAUACACCCAUUGAUAUAAUAAAGAGACACAAAUCUCUUAGUGCAUUAACUAGCAAGGAUAAUUCACAUUGUACAGUGUGCCCUCUAGCUAAGCACACUAAACUCCCUUUUUUCCUAAGUACUACUGUGUCUAAAGGUGUAUUUGAAUUGUUGCAUUGUGAUAUAUGGGGACCAUACAAAGUGCCCACCUACAAUGGAAAAAGGUUCUUUGUUACAGUUGUGGAUGAUUACAGCAGAUAUACUUGGGUGUUUUUACUUGCUUCCAAAGCUUAUACUAUAGUGGUCCUAAGGAAAUUUCUUACACAGGUUAAAAAUGUAUUCUCCACCACUGUUAAAACCUUGAGAACAGAUAAUGGAUGUGAAUUUUUUAGUCAUGUUUUUCAAAGCAUGCUAGGAGACCUUGGCAUUGUCCAUCAAACAACUUGUGUGUACACACCACAACAAAAUGGUGUUGCUGAAAGAAAACACAGAACCAUCUUAAAUGUGGCAAGGUCUAUAAGGUUUCAAGCCUCUAUUCCACUUCAGUACUAGGGUGAAUGUGUUUCCACUUCUGUAUACAUAUUGAACAGGCUGCCUUCAAGAGUUCUUGGUUUCCAAUCCCCGUUUGAAAGGUUGUACAUGCAUCCUCCUUCUUUGUCUCAUCUGAGGGUAUUUGGUUGUCUAUGUUAUGCAGCCUGUCCUAAAGUGUUGGACAAAUUUUCACCUAGGGCAAUUCCUGCAAUUCUUAUGGGAUAUUCCUCCACACAAAAAGGGUAUAUUUUGUAUGAUCUUCAUGGUCAUGAUUUCUUUGUUAGCCGCAAUGUUGUGUUCCAUGAACAUUUAUUUCCCUUUAAGCAUGCUCAAGAAGCAUCAAUCCUAUGUUUCCAGUACUGGAUUUAGUGCCAAGAGAUGACAGUCCCACUGUCAUACCAGGUGCUAAUACUUCACCUACACAGCAGGUUUCUGAGGUGUCUGACUUAUUGCCUGAAGGUACAACUGGUUCUCCUAUUCUUGUGCCUACAGCUCCCCUUCCACCUUCUGUUUUGCCAGCUGAAUCCACUAGAAGAUCCACCAGGGCCAGCAGACCUCCCAUUUGGUUGCAGGGCUUUGUUACUCAGCCACGAGGCAACACUUGUCUCUAUCCCUUAGCUGAUCAGCUCACAUAUUCUAAGUUGUCCAAAUCUUAUCAGCUAGUGUUAAAAGCAUAUUCAGCUGUCUGUGAGCCUGUGUCUUACAAUGAAGCUGCUUCUGAUCCUGCUUGGGUAAAAGCAAUGCAGUUAGAAAUUGAUGCCUUACAAAACAACAAGACAUGGAGUAUUGUUGAUCUUCCGCCUGGUAAAAAGCCAAUUGGUUGUCGGUGGAUUUAUAAGGUUAAAUACUUGUCAUCUGGAGAGGUGGAAAGGUUCAAGGCCAGACUAGUAGCCAAGGGGUUUAGCCAAAGAGAGGGCCUUGACUAUGGAGAAACAUUUAGCCCAGUCGCUAAGAUGGUUACAGUCAGAUCAAUUGUCGCACUAGCUGCCUCUAAAGGCUGGCACAUCUUUCAAAUGGAUGUUCACAAUGCCUUUCUCAAUGGAGAUCUUCUUGAGGAGGUCUACAUGGACAUUCCUUGUGGUUUUUCCAGACAGGGGGAGAGUCAUAAGGUCUGUAAAUUACACAAGUCUUUGUAUGGGCUCAAACAAGCACCAAGGCAGUGGAAUGUGAAACUAACAGAGGCUCUGGUAACUAUGGGGUUCAAGCAAAGUCAUUAUGAUUAUUCCUUGUUUACAAAAUUGGCUGGGAGUGAUAUUGUGGUAAUACUAGUCUAUGUAGAUGACUUAUUGAUCACUGGAAACAAUCACCAGCUGCUGUGUGACACUAGACUAGAAAUUCAAAAAAGUUCAAGAUGAAAGAUUUGGGGGAAUUGAAGUUCUUUCUUGGCAUUGAAUUCUCUAGGUCCAACAAGGGGAUAAUAAUGUCGCAAAGGAAGUAUGCCUUAGAGUUGAUAUCUGAAUCUGGCCUAGGGGGAGCAAAACCAGCUUGCACACCAUUGGAGAUUAAUCAAAAGCUCACAUCAGUCAAAUAUGAUGAGCACAUUAACAAUGGACAUGCUAGGGAUGAUGACAUUCUAACUGAUAUUACACAGUACCAAAGACUAGUAGGAAGGCUUUUAUAUCUUACCAUGACAAGACCUGAUAUUGCAUUCUCAGUACAGGUCUUAAGUCAGUUUAUGCAUUGCCCUAAACAAUCACAUAUGGAUGCAGCUCUAAGAGUCAUCAGAUAUAUCAAGAAAACACCUGGAUUAGGUUUGUUUAUGCCUGCAGAAGGCACCACUAUACUAACAGCCUACUGUGACUCUGACUGGGGAGCAUGCUUGGAAACCAGGAAGUCAGUCACAGGAUACUUGGUUAAGUUUGGAGGAGGACUCAUUUCUUGGAAGUCUAAGAAACAGGACACAGUUUCAAGGAGUUCUGCUGAAGCAGAGUUUAGAAGUAUGGCUGCAUGCACUGCUGAAGUAACCUGGUUGAUUGGUUUGUACAAAGAGCUAGGAAUUAAAGUAUCCUUGCCAGUGAAAAUGAUAUGUGACAGCAAAGCAGCAAUACAGAUUGCAGCUAAUCCUAUCUUUCAUGAGAGAACAAAACAUUUUGACAUUGAUUGUCACUUUGUUAGAGAAAGACUUUGUCAAGGAGUGAUCAGGACUGAACAUGUGAAGACUAAAGACCAACCAGCCGACCUACUUACUAAGGGCCUAGGGAUGAUGCAACACAAUGAGUUGAUGGAUCAGCUUGGACUGAAGAAUGUAUUUCAACCAUGAGCUUGAGGAGGAGUGUUGAUCAGUAUAGAGAAAUAACAAGCUACAUGUAUGAGUUAGUUAGUUAGUUAGUUAAAAGGGUCCAGAUCCCAAGAAUCAGUUAGUAAGUUUGUUAGAGUCAUAAGUGUGUAUAUAUACACUUCGGUAGCUGAUGCAUUAUUCAUUCACGUGUAAAACAAUGUAAAGGCAACUUGAUGUGAGCUCAAUAAUAUCUUCUCUUCCUCUCUUCUUCUCAACUCUUUCUCCAAUUACUUAAGAUCUUAAUCUCCAUUAAUGGAGUUAUCACAAGGAAUUAUAUUUUAGUCACAUUAGUAGGUUACUUUUAGGUCCAAUGUUUUCGGACAGUCUUUUGGUAAAAUAGAGAAUUUGCAUGGAUUUCUAUUUUUAAUUUUAUUUUAUGUAAUUGGACUAAGAUGAGAUCAAAUGAAGUGAUAUGAAUUCUUAUAUCUAACGUCAAUUUGUUUGGGAUUGAGGCGUUGUAGUAAUUUUUGUUGUAUUAUGCAUGUCUUGAAAUCUACCUCAUGAGCUUGAGCUGGCAUGAAAUCUGUUCAACAUUUCUUUUUUAUUUAAUAAACUCUUCUUUCAACUUAUAAUAUAUCUCUCCUUUGCUUCUUUUGCCAUUUGUUUUAAUUUGUUAAUUAAACAUUAACAAAUUGGUAUUAGAUCCUGUAACACCUCAUACUUUCGGGUUAAGAAUUGAACCGUUCUACGUAUCUAGUUAAACUCGGACUUGGUGAAUUUGUGUAUGUCAAGUCUCAAGUGUGAGAAUUGUGUUGGAUGUGAUUUAAGGUCAUAAGGAAAAUUUUGCACAAAGUUGAGUUAAAAGCAUCACUAUGAUGAAACUUGUUACAACGAAAAGGAAGAAGAACUUCAGGUCUACAAGGUGUAAAUAAUAGGAAAUCGCAGCUAUAAAUUGCUAUAGAAAAUCUGAAAGUGAAGAAGAAGGCUUAAGUUUUCUUUAGUUCAAUUGUUUUUUCACUAGAUGUUUCAUUACAUAUGGUUUAUUUAUAGAUAAAGUGUGAGAAUUACAACCACAUAAUAAGCAAAAUAUCUCACACCAAACUAUGUACCUGCGUGACUCACUAACCACCACUCAUUUUAAAUCAAGAUUAACAUAUCUACUACAAAAUAUCUCCAACCUCGGAGUUUCUAUACAAUUCUUACUUUUCUAACAUAUCUAAUACAAAAUAUCUCCAAUCUAGGAGUUUCUAGACAAAUCUUAAUUUUCUAACACUCCUCCUUAAUAUUUUUCAUUGAAACUCCUUGCAACAACCUUUGAAACUCAAACUUCUUAGUGGAAAGAGCCUUGGUCAGAAUAUCGGCCUGCUGAUCUUCACUGAUGCAAUGCACCAACUUAACUUCACCAUUCUUCUCGGCAUCUCUUAAAGCAUGAAACCUUAUGUUGAUAUGCUUUGUUCUUCCAUGCUUCAAUUGGUGUCAUAUCUUGGACUGCUCUAGUUGGUAAUUUAUAUAGCAAAUAGACAACGGUAUUGACUGCUUCAGCCCAAAAGUAUUUAGGCAUCUUCUUUUCUGCCAACAUGCAUCUCGCCAUCUCCAUCACUGUUCUUCCUCUCGGAAACCCCGUUCUGCUGUGGAGUGUAGCUAACAGUGAAUUGUUGUUGGAUACCCAAAUCUUUACAAUACUUGCUGAACUAAUACGAAGUAUAUUCAGUUCCAUUAUCGGAUCUAAUAUACUUCAAUUUAGAGCCACUCCCGUCCUCAUUGGUCCACAUAAAUCUGUAUGAACCAACUCUAGCUUUUCCUUAGCUCUCCAAAGACUUCCUUUAGGAAAGGAUUAUCUAUGCAUUUUACAAAAUUGACAUGACUCACAAACAUCUCUACACAGGUCAAUUUUGGGUACUUCAAGCACCAUACGGCCCUUUGAUUGCAUAUACACCAGUGAGCUAAGAUUAUAAUGACCGAACCUUUUGUGCCAAAGCUAAGUAUCGCUCAAUUCAACAUUAAAAGAGAAAGUAUCAAUAGAAUAGCAUGAAAUUGGAAAGGAAUUGUCAAUCAUGCUAAUUUUAGCUACUUCACAUCCUUUAGGAUCAUGACACAUUGUUUGUCCUUAAAAUUAAGAGAAUAAUUUUUAUGAAGCAAUUGAGCAACACUUGACAACUUUUGAGUCAAAUUUGGCACAUAAAGAACAUCAUUAAUAAUUUUCAUACCUUCAUCAGUAGAAAAUUUUACUGACCCUCUACCGUGAGCUUCCACCAAUGCGCCAUUUCCAAGCUUCACUUUGGUUCUAUCCGAUCUGUCCAAGGUAACAAACAGAUUUUCAUCAAUCGUCAUGUGCCUUUUGCACACACUAUCAACAUACCAUUUACAUUGGUCAAAAUGUGAUGUGUGCGAGGCCAUGAAAACCUCCUCUUUUGAUUUUCCAACUUGGUGAUCAUUCGCAAAAUUCACUCGAUGGGAAGACUGGCCACUUUGAUUUUGCUUUUGCCUAUAAUACUUCUCAAUGUGACCAUACUUCUUACAAUAUCUACAUUGAAUUGGAGACAUCUUUGAAUUCUGCCAACAAUUCUUCUCUAAGUGGUUUGUCUUCUUACAAAUGCCACAAGGUGGAAAUUUUCCUUUUAUCGACAAAUCACCUUGGUUUCCAUCAGAUUUUACCUCUCCAGAUUUAUCCAACCAGACUUUUCUACUUUCCUUUUGAUUUUUGAAUUUAUGCCUUGCUUGAAAGGCAUUUUCUACUAUCCCUUCACUUCUCAUAGUGACCCGUUGCUCUUGGACUUGCAAUUUGGAGAUUAGUUCGGCUAUUGUAAGAGUAGUCAAGUCACAAGACUCUUCAAUAGCUGAGAUUUUUUAUUUAAACUUGUCUGGAAGGCUAAUCAAGAUCUUCUCUACAACUUUCUGAUCUGGAAAGGUUUCACCAAGUAUUCUUAUUUGGUUCACAAUCUCCAUCAGCUUUGAACAAUAUUCUUUCACACUGAGUCUUUCAUCUUCAAAAGCUCAAACUCUCUCUUCAAUGCUAAGAGUCUAACAGACUUUAUUCUACUGGUGCCUUCAAACUCCUCUUUUAACUUAUCCCAAGCCUCUUUGGCUGUUUCACAAGUCAUAAUCCUCGUAAACAUCACGUCUGUAAGACUUGGAUGUCUGCAAGUGAGAGCUCGUGGGAUCUAGUCACCAACUCAUCAUACUUCUUAAUUUCAUUGAGAGUUGCAUUAACUCUCAAUGGACAACAGGUUCUCCAAGCUCAACAACUUCCCAUAAAUUGAGAGCCUUUAGAUAAGCCUUCAUUUUGAUGGCCCAUAUGUGAUAAUUCUCUCCGAUAAAAGUCGAAGGACCUGUCGUUGGUUGAUUUUCAGGUGCCAUAAAUUUUUUCAGCAAGCAAAUUCAAGAAAGAACAUAAAAUAGAUGAGCGAAACAAACAAAAUUUGAUUCAAAUCCCUUAGGAAGUAGGCUCUGAUACCAUGUUACAACGAAAAGGAAGAAGAACUUCAGGUCUACAAGGUGUAAACAAUAGGAAAUCGCAGCUGUAAAUUGCUACUGAAAAUCUGAAAGUGAAGAAGAAGGCUUAAGUUUUCUUGAGUUCAAUUUUUUUAUAAAGUGUGAGAAUUACAACCACAUAAUAAGCAAAAUAUCUCACACCAAAUUAUGUACCUAUGUGGCUCACUAACCACCACUCAUUUUAAAUCAAGACUAACAUAUCUACUACAAAAUAUCUCCAACCUAGGAGUUUCUAGACAAAUUCUUACUUUUCAAACAUAUCUAAUACAAAAAUAUCUCCAAUCUAGGAGUUUCUAGACAAAUCUUAAUUUUCUAACAAAACUCAUUUAAGUUUACAGAAGAGUCAACUUCAAAAAAGUAUAUCUACUAGAAUAGGAAAAGUUACGUGGCCUAUAACCUAUAAAAUUAAAGUUGUUUCAUUAUAGUUUCCAACGCAAUAAUUCAUCAGUCAAGCCGAUAUUUUUGUAAGAAGUUAUGCCUAUUUUACUGACAUUGCCAUGUUGCACGCCGGUUGCGUGCCCAAGCUAUCAGCUGUGCUAUAGUUCACUGACGGCAGUGCUACUGCCUUGAUGCGCAUCGGGUGUGUGUUAUGUACCCAAUCUUCAGCAAACUCAUAAUGGUAUUCCAAUUACACAAUAGCAAUUCUGGGAAAUAGCAAUAAUUAAUCAACUAAAUUAAACAACAACAAGAACUAGAAAGAGAUGAGAAGCCAGAUACUCAGAAAGGGGACGAGGGAACAUAGACUCUUCAUAACAAUUUUCAUAACCCGUUCUUUCUCAUCCUUGGUCCUUUUAGCUAGUUGUUAAUUGGGUCUGGGUCCCAAAUCAACCCUGGUAAAGGCCUUCCAAUUUUGUUGCUUCUUUUCGGCCCAAUAACUAGUUGUGUGGCCUUGGGCCGAGGCUGGUUCAUAACAGUGUGUGCACAAGACGUAUCUGUGCGACAGCGCGCACAUCAUUUUUUUUUUUGCGGAUAAGGUGUGUCUGAUCAUUGAUUCAAGUGGUCAGGAAUUAUUCAGAAUUAAAAUACAGUAAAAAAAGUAUUUCCUUGAAUCCGAUGGGGGAAGAACAUAUAGCUUUACCAAGUGAGUCCACUGUUGCAGAAACGGUUGGGUCACUUCCACCACCAGGAUCUUUUGUAUAUUCAGAAAAAUGAGCUACCGUAAAGGUUUACCUCCACUUGAAGAGGAACUCCGAAGUUGUGAGGCAUAUCAAUUUGGUAUGCAAACAAGAUUAUGAUUCACAAAAUCAACUUGGUGAGCAACUUAACAAUUGCAGCUGGUUCUUUUUGAAAUUUAACAGAAGUCCUUAUUUCACUAUAUCAGAAUUACAUGUAUAUAUAGACGAGAAAGAAUCUGCAGAAUCUUCUUCUUUAUAGGAUUUUAGUUUAAAUUAUUUGCUUUCUGUGAAUAAGAUGUGGUGUUAAAACCUAUCUCUACCUAUCUUCCUAUUUCAAUCAUGUUAAAUUUAUAUUUCUACCACAUUUGUGUAAGGAUUUUUGUUUGUUACCACUCGGUGUCGGAUAAGUCCCGAUUAUUUUGGAAUUUGAAAAGUUUCAUCUGCCUAUGAAAAACGGUUCCAUUUGAGGAUUUAAAAACAGAAUCACUAGUUAAACAACUUUGUUCGUUAGUUACGUGGAUAAAAAGAUCAUUUUAAUUGUUGGUAAAGUCACAACGCUGUCUUUAUAAGAUAAAGUUCUAAGGUGAAGCACAGAAAAUUAUAUAUGUUAAAUUAAAGCAAUUAAACAGCUUGGGACCCAACAAAUUAUAAUAAGUUUAACUAGCUAGUUGUUGUAUCCAACAAGUUGAUGUGACACCAUUAGCUAAAAGACAUUCCAAUAUAAAAACACCAUAAAUUUGAUAUCAUUACUUUGUAUUAUCAAUUCUUGUCAUAGUUAUGGGAAGAAAUUGCAAUUUCUGUUUGCUCUUGCAGUUUUCAUUAUGCUUCAUCACCAUAUUACUUCACUUGCUAAUAUUGACACUGAUAAAGCUGCUCUUCUUGCACUGAAAUCUCACAUUUCUUUUGAUCCUAACAACAUCCUAGCAACAAUUAAUUCCUAGUUGUUGGUUUACUUUGACACUAAUUUUCUUUCUAUGUCUUCAUUUUCUUGGACUCAUCAACCAUUAUCUUGACAAUUAUAUAUUCACUGCUUGAUUAAUCAAUUAUAAAUUACAAGAAAACAAGACUACUAAAAAUGCUCUGACAAUUCCCAUGAAUUCAUAUUUUUCUAAGAAAAAUGUGUUAUUUUUAUCUGCUUUAGCACAUAAAAAUCUCUUUCUUUAUCACAUUAGAAGUUAUUUCUGUUAUCACAUAAAAAUAGUGACAUUCGCCUUCUUGUGAUAUAUGUUUCAAGUUGUUUCUAAAUAGAGCUAGAGUUUUAGUUACAGAUUCGAAAGAACUCAAUAUAGAUUAAUGAAAAACUAUAUAUUUAUGUUAAUAAAUCCAGUUAAUAUGUAUAAAUAAUUUAGGGAAAAGGGGCAAAUUUUAGUUAUGAACUAUCGAAACUUUCUUGUUUAGAUAAUUUAGAAAUUGAUUGAUUUAGUUAAUAGUUAUUCAUAAGGUUUAUGUAAGAAGGAUACUUAAUUAAUUUCAUCGAUUUAUUUCAUGUUGACUUGGCUGUGCAUUUUAGGUCAACUAGUACUAUUGUCAUUUUACAUAUUAAUGAGUUAUUACCAAGAAAAAGUUUGAGUGUACUUAGCUUUUUCUACACAUUUUUUUGACUUUAUGGGUUAAUGCUUAAUAAGGUUCUCCAAUGCCAUAAGUGGUGCACUAAUACAACUUUGAUUACCAAAAGUUGGCACUCUUAAGUCUUAACCAAUCCAAUAAAUUUGACAUCAUUAACUAGGCCAUUCCUUUGCGAUAUCAAUUCAUUUAGAACAUAAAAAUAUCUUUCUUUUUAACGUUAGGGUUUAUUUCUAUUAUCACAUAAAAAUAGAGAAAUUCGUCUUCUUGUGAUGUUUCAAGUAGUUUCUAAACAGAGUUAGAGUUCUAGUUACACGUUCAAAAGAGAACUCAAUAUAGAUUAACGAAAAACUCUAUAUUUAUGUUAAUAAAUCCAGUUAAUAUGUACAAAUAAUUUAGGGAAAGGGGGUAAAUGAGUUAUUACCAAGAAAAAGUUUGAGUGUACUUAGCUUUUUCUACACAUUUUUUUGACUUUAUGGGUUAAUGCUUAAUAAGGUUCUCCAAUGCCAUAAGUGGUGCACUAAUACAACUUUGAUUACCAAAAGUUGGCACUCUUAAGUCUUAACCAAUCCAAUAAAUUUGACAUCAUUAACUAGGCCAUUCCUUUGCGAUAUCAAUUCAUUUAGAACAUAAAAAUAUCUUUCUUUUUAACGUUAGGGUUUAUUUCUAUUAUCACAUAAAAAUAGAGAAAUUCGUCUUCUUGUGAUGUUUCAAGUAGUUUCUAAACAGAGUUAGAGUUCUAGUUACACGUUCAAAAGAGAACUCAAUAUAGAUUAACGAAAAACUCUAUAUUUAUGUUAAUAAAUCCAGUUAAUAUGUACAAAUAAUUUAGGGAAAGGGGGUAAAUGAGUUAUUACCAAGAAAAAGUUUAGGUCAACUAGUACUAUUGUCAUUUUACAUAUUAAUGAGUUAUUACCAAGAAAAAGUUUGAGUGUACUUAGCUUUUUCUACACAUUUUUUUGACUUUAUGGGUUAAUGCUUAAUAAGGUUCUCCAAUGCCAUAAGUGGUGCACUAAUACAACUUUGAUUACCUAAAGUUGGCACUCUUAAGUCUUAACCAAUCCAAUAAAUUUGACAUCAUUAAAAUGAUUUUUUUUUAAUUGAAAUAUAUUUGAAAUUUAAAAAAUAAGAAAAUUUAAUAUAUAUUUUUUUUGAAUGGGGAGGGUCGGGCACUACGUAAUCUUGUAUGUAAGAUAAUAUAAUGUUUUAGUUUUAAUGAUUGAUAAGUUUUAAGUAUUAUUUUAUAAAUUUCAUGAUAUUAAAUUCCCACGCGAGGUGCGAAUAAUUUUACUUGUUAUUUUAAUGAAUUUGAUAUGAUUAAAUAGGUCUUCUAACAGCAUUGCUUUGCAUUAUCAAUUCUUCUUGCCAUAGUUAUGGACACAAGUUAUACUCUCCUCUUUGCUCAACUUUCAAUUUUCAUUCUGCUUCUUAACCAUACUUCACUUGCUAAUAUUAGCACUGAUGGAGCUGCUCUUCUUGCACUUAAAUCACACAUUUCUUCUCAUCCUAACAACAUCUUAGCAAGCAACUGGUCUUCUUCAACCUCGGUUUGCAGCUGGAUUGGAAUCACUUGCAGCUCCCGCCACCAUCGAGUCACUGCUUUAGACAUUUCUAGCAUGCAACUUCAUGGUACCAUUACUCCACACCUUGGAAACCUCUCAUUUCUUGUUUCCCUCAACAUCAGUAAUAACGCUUUUCAUGGAGAUUUGCCACAAGAGUUGGCUCGUUUGCAGAGGUUGAAAGUGAUUGAUGUCACAAGCAAUAACUUCACCGGAGAAUUUCCGUCAUUUUUAAGUUUGUUACCAAAUUUACACAUUAUGUACCUCUGGAGAAACCAAUUUUCAGGUAAAAUUCCAUCCUCCCUUUCCAAUCUGACAAAACUGCAAGUGUUGUCAAUACAGAACAAUUUUCUCCAAGGAGAGAUCCCUCGGGAACUCGGUCAUCUUCGUUACCUGAGUAUCCUAGACCUGCAAUAUAAUGGACUUACAGGCUCUAUACCAUCAUCAAUCUUUAACAUUACUACAAUGCAAGUAAUUGCUCUUACAGGCAACAAUCUUACUGGAAAGCUUCCAAAAACUAUAUGUGACCAUCUUCCAAACUUGGAAGGGCUUCACCUCACAAGCAACUCCCUAGAUGGAGUUAUUCCACCAAACCUUGAGAAAUGCCGAAAACUUCAAAUAUUGUCAUUGUCUUACAAUGAGUUUAUUGGAAUUGUACCAAGAGAGCUGGCCAACUUAACAGCUCUUACAGAAUUAUAUCUCGGAGAUCUGCAUUUGGAAGGUAGUAUGAUAUUUCCUUACAAGAAAAAUGAAAAUUUUCUUCCUUUUCUCUCUUCCGCUAAACUGGUAACUCAUAUACUUCCUGAAAUUGACAGGAGAGAUCCCUCGAGAAAUCAGUGAUCUUCGUUACUUGACUAUCCUAGAUCUGCAAUUUAAUCAACUUAGUGGCUCUAUACCACCAUCAAUCUUCAACAUUACCACAAUGCAAGUAAUUGCUCUUACGGGCAACAAUCUUACUGGAAAGCUUCCAAAAACUAUAUGUGACCAUCUUCCAAACUUGCAAAGGCUUUACCUCUCAAAGAACUCCUUAGAUGGAGUUAUUCCACCAAGCCUUGAGAAAUGCCGAAAACUUCAAAUAUUGUCAUUGUCUUACAAUGAGUUUAUUGGAAUUGUACCAAGAGAGCUGGCCAACUUAACAGCUCUUACAGAAUUAUAUCUCAGAGCCCUGCAUUUGGAAGGUAGUAUGAUAUUUCCUUACAAGAUAAAUGAAAAUUUUCUUCCUUUUCUCUCUUCCGCUAAACUGGUAACUCAUAUACUUCCUGAAAUUGACAGGAGAGAUCCCUCGAGAAAUCAGUGAUCUUCGUUACUUGACUAUCCUAGAUCUGCAAUUUAAUCAACUUAGUGGCUCUAUACCACCAUCAAUCUUCAACAUUACCACAAUGCAAAUCAUUGAUUUUACUGGCAAUAAUCUUACUGGUAAGCUUCCACCAAGCCUCGAGAAAUGCAGAAAGCUUCAAGUCUUGGCAUUGUCGCUCAAUGAGUUUAUAGGAACUAUACCAAGAGAGAUAGCCAACUUAACAGUUCUUACAGAAUUAUAUCUCAAAGCUCUGCAUUUGGAAGGUAGUAUGAUAUUUCCUUACAAGAAAAAUGAAAAUUUUCUUCCUUUUCUCUCUUCCGCUAAACUGGUAACUCAUAUACUUCCUGAAAUUGACAGGAGAGAUCCCUCGAGAAAUCAGUGAUCUUCGUUACUUGACUAUCCUAGAUCUGCAAUUUAAUCAACUUAGUGGCUCUAUACCACCAUCAAUCUUCAACAUUACCACAAUGCAAAUCAUUGAUUUUACUGGCAAUAAUCUUACUGGUAAGCUUCCACCAAGCCUCGAGAAAUGCAGAAAGCUUCAAGUCUUGGCAUUGUCGCUCAAUGAGUUUAUAGGAACUAUACCAAGAGAGAUAGCCAACUUAACAGUUCUUACAGAAUUAUAUCUCAAAGCUCUGCAUUUGGAAGGUAGUAUGAUAUUUCCUUACAAGAAAAAUGAAAAUUUUCUUCCUUUUCUCUCUUCCGCUAAACUGGUAACUCAUAUACUUCCUGAAAUUGACAGGAGAGAUCCCUCGAGAAAUCAGUGAUCUUCGUUACUUGACUAUCCUAGAUCUGCAAUUUAAUCAACUUAGUGGCUCUAUACCACCAUCAAUCUUCAACAUUACCACAAUGCAAAUCAUUGAUUUUACUGGCAAUAAUCUUACUGGUAAGCUUCCACCAAGCCUCGAGAAAUGCAGAAAGCUUCAAGUCUUGGCAUUGUCGCUCAAUGAGUUUAUAGGAACUAUACCAAGAGAGAUAGCCAACUUAACAGUUCUUACAGAAUUAUAUCUCAAAGCUCUGCAUUUGGAAGGUAGUAUGAUAUUUCCUUACAAGAAAAAUGAAAUUUUUCUUCCUUUUCUCUCUUCCGCUAAACUGGUAACUCAUAUACUUCCUGAAAUUGACAGGAGAGAUCCCUCGAGAAAUCAGUGAUCUUCGUUACUUGACUAUCCUAGAUCUGCAAUUUAAUCAACUUAGUGGCUCUAUACCACCAUCAAUCUUCAACAUUACCACAAUGCAAAUCAUUGAUUUUACUGGCAAUAAUCUUACUGGUAAGCUUCCACCAAGCCUCGAGAAAUGCAGAAAGCUUCAAGUCUUGGCAUUGUCGCUCAAUGAGUUUAUAGGAACUAUACCAAGAGAGAUAGCCAACUUAACAGUUCUUACAGAAUUAUAUCUCAAAGCUCUGCAUUUGGAAGGUAGUAUGAUAUUUCCUUACAAGAAAAAUGAAAUUUUUCUUCCUUUUCUCUCUUCCGCUAAACUGGUAACUCAUAUACUUCCUGAAAUUGACAGGAGAGAUCCCUCGAGAAAUCAGUGAUCUUCGUUACUUGACUAUCCUAGAUCUGCAAUUUAAUCAACUUAGUGGCUCUAUACCACCAUCAAUCUUCAACAUUACCACAAUGCAAAUCAUUGAUUUUACUGGCAAUAAUCUUACUGGUAAGCUUCCACCAAGCCUCGAGAAAUGCAGAAAGCUUCAAGUCUUGGCAUUGUCGCUCAAUGAGUUUAUAGGAACUAUACCAAGAGAGAUAGCCAACUUAACAGUUCUUACAGAAUUAUAUCUCAAAGCUCUGCAUUUGGAAGGUAGUAUGAUAUUUCCUUACAAGAAAAAUGAAAUUUUUCUUCCUUUUCUCUCUUCCGCUAAACUGGUAACUCAUAUACUUCCUGAAAUUGACAGGAGAGAUCCCUCGAGAAAUCAGUGAUCUUCGUUACUUGACUAUCCUAGAUCUGCAAUUUAAUCAACUUAGUGGCUCUAUACCACCAUCAAUCUUCAACAUUACCACAAUGCAAAUCAUUGAUUUUACUGGCAAUAAUCUUACUGGUAAGCUUCCACCAAGCCUCGAGAAAUGCAGAAAGCUUCAAGUCUUGGCAUUGUCGCUCAAUGAGUUUAUAGGAACUAUACCAAGAGAGAUAGCCAACUUAACAGUUCUUACAGAAUUAUAUCUCAAAGCUCUGCAUUUGGAAGGUAGUAUGAUAUUUCCUUACAAGAAAAAUGAAAUUUUUCUUCCUUUUCUCUCUUCCGCUAAACUGGUAACUCAUAUACUUCCUGAAAUUGACAGGAGAGAUCCCUCGAGAAAUCAGUGAUCUUCGUUACUUGACUAUCCUAGAUCUGCAAUUUAAUCAACUUAGUGGCUCUAUACCACCAUCAAUCUUCAACAUUACCACAAUGCAAAUCAUUGAUUUUACUGGCAAUAAUCUUACUGGUAAGCUUCCAACAACUAUAUGUGACCAUCUUCCAAACUUGGAAGGGCUUCACCUCACAAGCAACUCCCUAGAUGGAGUUAUUCCACCAAGCCUCGAGAAAUGCAGAAAGCUUCAAGUCUUGGCAUUGUCGCUCAAUGAGUUUAUAGGAACUAUACCAAGAGAGAUAGCCAACUUAACAGUUCUUACAGAAUUAUAUCUCAAAGCUCUGCAUUUGGAAGGUAGUAUGAUAUUUCCUUACAAGAAAAAUGAAAUUUUUCUUCCUUUUCUCUCUUCCGCUAAACUGGUAACUCAUAUACUUCCUGAAAUUGACAGGAGAGAUCCCUCGAGAAAUCAGUGAUCUUCGUUACUUGACUAUCCUAGAUCUGCAAUUUAAUCAACUUAGUGGCUCUAUACCACCAUCAAUCUUCAACAUUACCACAAUGCAAAUCAUUACUCUUACUGACAAUAAUCUUACUGGUAAGCUUCCACCAAGCCUCGAGAAAUGCAGAAAGCUUCAAGUCUUGGCAUUGUCGCUCAAUGAGUUUAUAGGAACUAUACCAAGAGAGAUAGCCAACUUAACAGCUCUUACAGAAUUAUAUCUCGAAACUCUGCAUUUGGAAGGUAGUAUGAUAUUUCUUUACAAGAAAAAUGAAAAUUUUCUUCCUUUCGGAGCUCUGCAUAAGGUAAGUGUAACUCAUAUAUUUCCCAAAAUUGACAGGAGAGAUACCAAUGGAGCUAGGUAAUCUUAAGAAACUUCAGGUACUGCAGUUAGCAGAAAAUGAGCUUACUGGCUCUGUUCCUGACAGCAUUUUCAACAUGUCAGCACUGAAGAUUAUAGAUUUUGGACAAAACAAGCUUUCAGGUACUCUACCUUCAGAUUUAGGUCGUAGAAUUCCCAACCUAGAAGUAUUUCUUUGUGGAGGAAAUAAUCUGAGUGGUUUUAUCUCUGAUUCAAUCACAAAUUCUUCAAGACUCAGAAUGUUUGACAUCUCAUUCAACAGUUUCACAGGUCCAAUUCCUAAAUCAUUUGGUAACUUAGAAUACCUUGAGAUUCUUAACUUAGAGAUGAAUAAUUUUAUCAGUGAUUCAUCAUUGAGCUUCCUUACAUCAUUAACAAACUGUAGGAAACUAAGAGCACUCCGAUUUAAUGAGAAUGCAUUGGAUGGGGCAUUACCAGCGUCUGUUGGUAAUUUCUCAAACUCGAUGCAAAAUUUUCAAGGAAAUGGCUGUAAGCUAAAGGGCGUCAUUCCUCGAGAAAUCGGUAAUCUUACUGGAGUGAUACAUAUGAGUCUGUUUAACAAUAAGUUGGCUGGACAUAUUCCAAAUACUGUCCAAGACAUGUUGAACCUCCAAGAAUUUUAUCUACAUAGCAAUGAGAUUAAAGGUACCAUACCAAAUGUUAUAUGCAGUUUAAAGAAUCUUGGUGCAUUAGACUUGUCAGGAAAUCAUUUUUCUGGUUCAGUGCCCUCAUGCUUAGGGAAUGUAACUAGUUUGAGGUAUCUUAAUCUAGCUUACAACAGGCUGAAUUCAAGAUUACCUGCAAACUUGGGGAGCCUUCAAGAUCUCAUUGAAUUAAGUGUUUCAUCCAAUUCAUUAAGUGGUCAUAUUCCUCUGGAGUUGGGAAAUUUAAAGGCAGUAACACUAAUUGAUUUGUCAAAAAAUGAUUUUUCUGGUAAAAUUCCUAGCACUUUAGGAGGUCUAGCUGAAUUGAUUAAUCUUCCUCUAGCACAUAAUAGAUUAGAGGGGCCUAUUCCAGAUUCAUUUGGCAAAUUGUUGGCAUUGGAAUUCUUGGAUUUGUCUUAUAACAAUCUUAGUGGUGAAAUUCCAAAGUCAUUAGAAGCUCUAGUGUAUCUCAAAUACAUGAAUUUCUCAUUCAAUAAACUCAGUGGAGAAAUUCCCAUUGGUGGUCCUUUUGUAAAUGUCACUAGUCAAUCCUUCUUGUCCAAUGAUGCACUUUGUGGUGACUCCCGGUUUAACAUAAAACCAUGUCAAACUAAAUCUACAAAGAAGUCAAGAAGAAAAAGAGUGCUUAUAGGUUUAUAUACGCUGUUAGGGAUUGGGUCGCUCUUUGUGUUGGUAGUUGGAUAUGUGGUGUUAAGAUUGAGAAAGACAAAGAAGAAUGCAAGUCAAGCAGAUGUGUCUCUGGUAAAAGAACAUGAAAGAAUUUCCUAUUAUGAACUUGAACAUGCAACAGAAGGAUUCGACGAAAGCAACUUGCUUGGUACAGGGAGUUUUAGUGUGGUCUACAAAGGGAUACUUAAGGAUGGUACUCUUUUGGCAGCAAAGGUAUUCAAUGUGCAAUUGGAGGGUGCAUUUAAAAGUUUUGAUACGGAAUGUGAGAUACUCCGGAACCUUCGCCACAGAAAUCUGACCAAAGUUAUUACAAGCUGUGCCAACCUUGAUUUCAAGGCCCUGGUGUUGGAAUACAUGCCCAAUGGGACACUUGAUAAAUGGUUAUACUCCCACAACUUGUUCUUGAACUUAUUACAGAGAUUGGA
rnacentral:lncRNA from 1 species